rnacentral:rRNA from 1 species
CCUACGGGAGGCAGCAGUGAGGAAUAUUGGUCAAUGGCCGAGAGGCUGAACCAGCAAAGUCGCGUGAGGGAAGACGGCCCUACGGGUUGUAAACCUCUUUUGUCGGGGAGCAAAGCGAGUCACGUGUGACUCAUUGAGAGUACCCGAAGAAAAAGCAUCGGCUAACUCCGUGCCAGCAGCCGCGGUAAUACGGAGGAUGCGAGCGUUAUCCGGAUUUAUUGGGUUGAAAGGGUGCGCAGGCGGAGGUGCAAGUCAGCGGUAAAAUUGCGGGGCUCAACCCCGUACUGCCGUUGAAACUGCAUCCCUUGAGUGCGGGAGAGGUAUGCGGAAUGCGUGGUGUAGCGGUGAAAUGCAUAGAUAUCACGAAGAACUCCGAUUGCGAAGGCAGCAUACCGGCGCGCAACUGACGCUCAUGCACGAAAGCGUGGGUAUCGAACAGGAUUAGAUACCCGGGUAGUC